UUUAAAUUUGCGGUUUUUUGGAUUAGGUGUACAAAAUAAAUUAGCAUUAAUGUUUUGUGUCGUUGUUGAAAUCGUGAUCGAAAAAUCUUGAAAAUAACAAAGUGAUACGAAAAGGAUCUUGCAACAUUACGUAAUUAAUUAUAAUAAAAGAGAUAAUAACAACAAAGGUCGAAAUAAUUAGUGAAAAAAUCAAGGAUUUUAAUUUUUAUUGCAAUAUUUAACUUAACCUAAUUUGACAGUUAGAUAACCUCAAAAUUUAGAAUUAUUUGAAUGAUUUUAAAGUUGAAUAAAGAAUUAGCUUUUAUGGGCACCUUCGUUUUCAAAAUAUGAUUCACGAUGAUCUCACCUCUUUAUUCUGAAUUUACAAGAAGGAUAUUUGCCCAAGGUGAUUCAAAAAUACCAGAUUAACUUAAUACAUUCUUAGAUUCCAAUUUUAGGUGCUAAAAACUUACCGAUUAUAAGAAUCGUCGCCAAACAAACAAUUUGAGUAUACAUUUUUUCCUCGAAGUAGAUUGAAACGCACAACACCACCGGCAGUGUAAAGAAUCACUAUGAAAUUGUUGCCAGUUUCUUUCACUUUAUAUACUGGACGAGAAAGCCGGAGAAAUAUCGUUGAAAUCUCCCACCAAGAACCAUUUAUGGGGAGUUUAUAAUCUUAUUAUUUUAUGUGAAUUGUUUUGAACUCAACCUUGACCCUUUCGAUUUUGUUUAAAUAUUCGAAACCAAAAAAUGAAUCACUUCCCUUAAAUUAAUAUUGUUAUUGAUGUUAAAUAAAGGUGUUAAAUAAGCUAAAUUUA